rnacentral:rRNA from 1 species
UACGUAGGUGGCAAGCGUUAUCCGGAAUUAUUGGGCGUAAAGAGCGCGCAGGUGGUUGAUUAAGUCUGAUGUGAAAGCCCACGGCUUAACCGUGGAGGGUCAUUGGAAACUGGUCGACUUGAGUGCAGAAGAGGGAAGUGGAAUUCCAUGUGUAGCGGUGAAAUGCGUAGAGAUAUGGAGGAACACCAGUGGCGAAGGCGGCUUCCUGGUCUGUAACUGACACUGAGGCGCGAAAGCGUGGGGAGCAAACAGGAUUAGA